UGCAUGUGCACCACCAAGUGGCUCCUGUUAAAAUUGAAAAAAAAGUCCUUUCAGAUGCCAAAGAAACUAAAUUGAAGCAGCAGCUCCUCAUCAUGUUACACUGAAGGUUGGGAAAAGGCAAUUCAGUAACUGGUUUUGAAUUAGGGUUUAAUCCUCACAAGUAUGUGCCUAGAAACCCCAAUUUACCUCCAGUUAUUGUCUGGAGAACAUGCAUUUAAUCAUGGCAUCCAAAAGAUCUAAAUUCGAAAAGCAUAUAAUAUAAAAGCAAAGAAGAAAAAAAGGGAAGAAAAGUGCUGAAGAUAUGACAGCAGAGGAGAACUUUACAGGGAUGACACCAUCGGCAAUUU
rnacentral:misc_RNA from 1 species